rnacentral:ncRNA from 1 species
UUUCUGUUGAGAAGACGAGAUCACCAGAUGAAUUUAAGCAUAUUAUUAAGCGGAGGAAAAGAAACUAACUAAGAUUACCUUAGUAGCGGCGAGCGAACAGGGAAGAGCCCAGUACCGAAUCCCGCGGUUCCGCCGUAGGGAAAUGUGGUGUUUGGGAGGAUCAGUUUAUCCCGAGGCGUCGCGUCGCGUCCAAGUCCAUCUUGAAUGGGGCCACUUAACCGCAGAG